rnacentral:rRNA from 1 species
UUUCCUACGGGGGGCAGCAGUGGGGAAUAUUGCACAAUGGGGGAAACCCUGAUGCAGCGACGCCGCGUGAGUGAAGAAGUAAUUCGUUAUGUAAAGCUCUAUCAGCAGGGAAGAAAAUGACGGUACCUGAGUAAGAAGCCCCGGCUAACUACGUGCCAGCAGCCGCGGUAAUACGUAGGGGGCAAGCGUUAUCCGGAUUUACUGGGUGUAAAGGUAGCGUAGACGGCAGUGCAAGUCUGGAGUGAAAGGC